rnacentral:lncRNA from 1 species
AUGGGGCCCGGGUGUGCAGGACAGAUGAGCUCAACACUCAUUCACAGCGGGAGCUCGUCACCCGUGAGCUGUGUAACCCAUCUCAGCAAGAGAAAGGAACAGAGAAUCCCAGCUUUGGGACCCACAGCAACCACCACGCUCAGCUGGUCCUUUCUGAGAAGCCAGUGGGGAGGGAGGGGAAGAAUCCUGAUUUUGCCUAGAGCACCAGCCCCUCCAUUUCCCUGGGGCCCUCCCAGGCCACCCUCCUGGGGACCUGUAUCCUGGCUAGACACAGCCUCCCUACACCCAGAGACCGGUGGGAUUUCCACUCACAGACAGUAAAAUGAAGGCCCAUAGAGAAGGGAGCACCUUGCCCAGCAUCUCUUAGUGAAUCCUCAGCCUAAGGCUCAAUAAAUCCUCAUGACAAUUACAGAGUAGUGUUAGGGAGGAAAACAUUUCCCUUCUUCCCUUCUCAGUGCUUUGGCUAGUCUAAUAAUUAAAGUGACAUAAGACAGAUUAACAGGAGAAAAACAAAUUUAAUUUCAUAGGAACAGGAGCCCCCUUGAAAGUAUGAGACAGAAAAGUGACCGAAGCAGGCAGUUUUACACCUUUUACACAAAAAACAAUAAAUUUGUGAAGAAUUGGUAAGACUUGGGGCGCCUGGGUGGCUCAGUAGGUUAAGCAUCCAGCUCUUCAUUUGAGCUCAGGUCAUCUCAGGGUCAUAAGAUCGAGCCCCGCAUCAGGCUCCCCACUCAGCAGGGAGUCUACUUGGGAUUCUCUCCUCUCGUUCUGCCCCUCCCCCCUCUCCCUCUCUCUCAAAUAAAUAAAUAAACAAAAUCUUCCCCAAAAAAAGAAUUGGAAAGACAAAGAAGGUUGGGCUUGCGGUAGCAAAUGGGUGAGGAAUUAACAGAUUUGUUUAUAUAGACUUCUCAGCCCUGAAUUCCCUAUCUCUGCUGGUAAGGGUGUCUCUCCUCCUCCUGGUACAGGGAGAGCACCUUUUACUUGACAAGAUCAUUUCCUGCUUUCUGGGGGACAGAGGAGGGUCCGAGUAUCCUUCCUGUAC